GCCCUUAUAGCUCAGUGGUACGAGCGCGUCACUCGUAAGUCUUGACGCAUAUAGAAGCUUUAAGCAUUGAGGUAUGACGAGGUCCGCGGUUCAAUCCCGCGUGGGGGCA